rnacentral:rRNA from 1 species
ACUGCUCAGUAACACGUGGAUAACCUACCCUUGGGACUGGAAUAACCCCGGGAAACUGGGGAUAAUACCGGAUAGAUCAGGGAUGCUGGAAUGCACCUUGAUCCAAAGCUCCGGCGCCCAAGGAUGGGUCUGCGGCCUAUCAGGUAGUAGUGGGUGUAACGUACCUACUAGCCAACGACGGGUACGGGUUGUGAGAGCAAGAGCCCGGAGAUGGAUUCUGAGACACGAAUCCAGGCCCUACGGGGUGCAGCAGGUGCGAAACCUUUACAAUGUGCGAAAGCAUGAUAAGGGAACUCCGAGUGCCAGUAUCUAAUACUGGCUGUCCUUGUGCCUAAAACGCACAAGAUAGCAAGGGCCGGGUAAGACCGGUGCCAGCCGCCGCGGUAACACCGGCGGCCCGAGUGGUAGCCGCUAUUAUUGGGUCUAAAGGGUCCGUAGCCGGUUCGAUAAGCUCCUCUGGGAAAUCUGGUUGCUUAACAAUCAGACUGCCAAGGGAUACUGUCGAACUUGAGACCGGGAGAGGUAAGAGGUACUUCAGGGGUAGGAGUGAAAUCUUGUAAUCCCUGGGGGACCAUCUGUGGCGAAGGCGUCUUACCAGAACGGGUCUGACGGUGAGGGACGAAAGCUGGGGGCGCAAACCGGAUUAGAUACCCGGGUAGCCCCAGCCGUAAACGAUGCUCGCUAUGUGUCAGGUACGGUGUGACCGUAUCUGGUGCCGUAGGGAAGCCGUGAAGCGAGCCACCUGGGAAGUACGGCCGCAAGGCUGAAACUUAAAGGAAUUGGCGGGGGAGCACUACAACGGGUGGAGCCUGCGGUUUAAUUGGAUUCAACGCCGGAAAUCUUACCGGGGGAGACAGCAGCAUGAAGGUCAGGCUGAAGACCUUACCAGAUCCGCUGAGAGGAAGUGCAUGGCCGUCGUCAGUUCGUACUGUGAAGCAUCCUGUUAAGUCAGGCAACGAGCGAGACCCGUGCCCACAGUUGCCAGCAUACCCUUCGGGGUGAUGGGUACUUUGUGGGGACCGCCGCUGCUAAAGCGGAGGAAGGAGCGGGUUACGGUAGGUCAGUAUGCUCCGAAACUCCCGGGCUACACGCGGGCUACAAUGGUUGGGACAAUG